rnacentral:lncRNA from 1 species
ACCGUUUCCUCAACCUGGAUUCUUGUGGCCCACAACUCUGUGCCUUGAGAAUCCUCUUCUAGCCUCAAGGGACGGUAAGACAAAAGAAAAUUUAAAAAGGGGGCUCAGCUGUUCUUUUAUGCAAAGGUGAAAAAAGCUUCAUUGCCUAAAGAAGGGACAGAUGGGAUCUUGCUUCCUACAGGAAAAUUAAUUUUAAAAAAGAAAAAAAAAAGGGGGGACAGUGUAAUGCUUCUCACAAGGCUCCAGAAACGAAGCCCAGUAAUUCCUUAAGUAAAAGAGGAAUGUGAAGACUUCUUAAGGGGCCGGGCGCGGUGGUUCACGCCUGUAAUCCAAGCACUUUGGAAGGCCGAGGAUGAAUCACCUGAGGACAGAAGUUCAAGACCAGCCUGGUCAACAUGGUGAAACCCCGUCUCUACUAAAUAUACAAAAAUUAGCCGGGCGUGGUGGCGGGGGCCUGUAAUCCCAGCUACUCGGGAGGCCGAGGCAGGAGAAUCGCUUGAACCCGGGAGCCGGAAAUUGCAGUGAGCCGAGAUCGCGCCAUUGCGCUCCAGCCUGGGCAACAACAGCGAAACUUCGUCUCAAAAAAAAAAAUUAUUCGUAAUUGGUAACAUUAACAAGGAAUUAUGACUGGGGGGGUCAGGAAACCUGGAUUCUGGUCCAAGUUCUACCUUUAUAGUUGUCAAAUAUAUAUAUUUGUUUAUUUAUACACA